rnacentral:rRNA from 1 species
GAUAAACGCUGGCGGCGUGCCUAAUACAUGCAAGUCGAGCGAACAGACGAGGAGCUUGCUCCUCUGACGUUAGCGGCGGACGGGUGAGUAACACGUGGAUAACCUACCUAUAAGACUGGGAUAACUUCGGGAAACCGGAGCUAAUACCGGAUAAUAUAUUGAACCGCAUGGUUCAAUAGUGAAAGACGGUUUUGCUGUCACUUAUAGAUGGAUCCGCGCCGCAUUAGCUAGUUGGUAAGGUAACGGCUUACCAAGGCAACGAUGCGUAGCCGACCUGAGAGGGGGAUCGGCAACACUGGAACUGAGACACGAUCCAGACUCCUACGGGAGGCAGCAGUAGGUAAUCUUCCGCAAUGGGCGAAAGCCUGACGGAGCAACGCCGCGUGAGUGAUGAAGGGCUUCGGAUCGUAAAACGCUGUUAUUAGGGAAGAACAAAUGUGUAAGUAACUAUGCACGUCUUGACGGUACCUAAUCAGAAAGCCACGGCUAACUACGU